rnacentral:rRNA from 1 species
UACAGAGGGGGCAAGCGUUGUUCGGAAUUACUGGGCGUAAAGGGCGCGUAGGCGGCCUUCUAAGUCGAACGUGAAAUCCCCGGGCUCAACCCGGGAACUGCGUCCGAGACUGGAAGGCUUGAAUCCGGGAGAGGGAUGUGGAAUUCCAGGUGUAGCGGUGAAAUGCGUAGAUAUCUGGAGGAAUACCGGUGGCGAAGGCGGCAUCCUGGACCGGCAUUGACGCUGAUGAGCGAAAGCUAGGGGAGCAAACGGG